AUUUACAAGAUAAAAAAGCGAGAAAAUACGAAUUAUUACGUAGGACAUCCAUCAAUAUGUGCAAACCACAUGCGUAAUUUUCCACCUUUUCGGCAUUUUUCGCUAGGUGGAUUGUGUGACCCAUAGAGAAGUAAACAUUUAAAGUCUAACUCAAACUACAGAGCAAAUCAAUUCCACGUUGGGACCAAAAUGGAGAAUAGGAGUGAGUAUAAUAAACCGUCAGUGAUGAUCACAAAUGACGAUGGAAUUGAUGCUCCGGGCUUGAGAUCUCUCGUUCAAGUUCUUGUCUCCUCCAAUCUCUUCAAUGUCCUUGUUUGUGCUCCCGAUUCUGAAAAGUCAGCUGUUAGCCAUAGUAUCUCAUGGCAACAUCCUCUUUCCGUCAAGAAGGUGGACAUCAGUGGAGCGACAGCCUUUGCGGUUUCUGGAACCCCAGCAGACUCCACUUCGAUUGGGCUCUCCAAAGUGCUCUUCCCCUCUGUACCUGAUCUGGUUAUCAGCGGAAUAAAUAUGGGUAGCAAUUGCGGUUAUCACAUUGUUUACUCAGGCACAGUGGCUGGUGCACGAGAGGCUUUCUUCAAUGGUGUUCCUUCUGUCUCAGUGUCAUAUGAAUGGGUUGGUGGAAAAAGCAAGGUUGAUGAUUUCGUAUUGGCAGCUGAAGCUUGCAUGCCAAUCAUUACAGCUAUAUUGGCUGAGAUCAAGAAUAAUACUUAUCCUCGGAAUUGCUUUCUUAACAUAGAUGUACCAGCCGAUGUUGCCAAUCGCAAGGGUUAUCGCCUGACCAAGCAAGGUAAGAGUAUUUUCAGAAUGGGAUGGAGGCAAGUUGUUUCGGAAGCACAAGGAGGGAAAAUGUUAUCUACAAUGACAAUGGAUUCAUCAGCAAGUAAAGAAGCAUAUGUGGAAGAAAGCACACAACAAGAACACCUAUUGUUCAAGAGAGAAGUCAAGGGAGCACAAGCGGAGGAUGGCAAUGAUGAUUACUCUUUCCUUCGACAAGGAUAUGUUUAUUACUGUUACACCCCUUGGCGCUUUAUCUCCUCCACCGAUGGAUGACGUGGAAUUCUUCAAAGGUUGGCUGCCUGGUGUUCAUGAGAGUAUCUCUUCCUCUGCUUAAUAAUGCUUAGAGAUGCUCUGCAAUCGGAUGUCAAGGCACUUGCAGCCGAUCAGUCCAUACAUUACAGAAGUUUUGCAAAUGCAUUACAUUUCUUAUAUCUAUAUCUAUCAUCCUUCCGCAGUUCAAUGUUGGUUGUUGUGCAAUUGCAUCAAAUUCUCCAAAUUUAUGUGACCCAAAUGAACUAGCUAAGUCAUUUCUCUUCCUAGAUGCCAUUUGUAGUGUAAGAUCAGGCAUCUAAAAACUAGCAAUGCACUCUCGGAUCAAGAAAAGCUGCCUAUUAUAAAAGCUUCUGCUUUUGAUUUAA